UGCAAGAUACCCUACUUCGGAAGUAGGGCGCAUUAGAGCGCAUCCGGAUGCGAAUCGAAUGCACCACUUCCGAAGUUGGGUGUCUCGCA
rnacentral:pre_miRNA from 1 species